rnacentral:ncRNA from 1 species
GAAGAUGCCAAGAUGGAACCCACCACUCCCGAGGACAAAAGACUUAGUCCUAACCUUAUUGUUAACUCUUGCUCGACAUAUACAUGCAAGUAUCCGCACUCCAGUGCAAACGCCCUAAACCCCUUACCAAGGCACAAGGAGCAGGCAUCAGGCACACCCACCCACAUGUAGCCCAAAACGCCACGCCCCGCCACACCCCCACGGGUAUUCAGCAGUAAUUAACAUUAAGCAAUAGGCGAAAGCCUGACUUAAUUAGAGCAACCAGGGUUGGUAAAUCUUGUGCCAGCCACCGCGGUCACACAAGAGACCCAAGUUAACCGUAUACGGCGUAAAGAGUGGACCCAAGCUAUCACACCAAACUAAGACCAAACCCUGCCCAAGCCGUCAUAAGCCCAAGGCACCCCUAAGCCCAACCUGAAGACGAUCUUAACACCCACGAUCUACUCUACCCCACCAAAGCCAGGACACAAACUGGGAUUAGAUACCCCACUAUGCCUGGCCUUAAAUCUCAAUGCCUUCCAAACAUAAGCAUCCGCCCGAGAACUACGAGCACAAACGCUUAAAACUCUAAGGACUUGGCGGUGCUCUAAACCCACCUAGAGGAGCCUGUUCUAUAAUCGAUAACCCACGAUUCACCCGACCACUUCUUGCCAAAACAGCCUAUAUACCGCCGUCGCCAGCCCACCUCAUGAGAGCACAACAGUGAGCCCAACAGCCCACAACCCACUAACAAGACAGGUCGAGGUAUAGCCUAUGAAGUGGAAGAAAUGGGCUACAUUUUCUAAAAUAGAAAACCCAACGGAAGAGGACUUGAAACUUGUCCCCAGAAGGCGGAUUUAGCAGUAAAGCAGGAUAACCAAGCCUUCUUUAAGCUGGUCCUAGAGCACGUACACACCGCCCGUCACCCUCCU